CUCCUUUGGACGCACGCAAAGACUAGGAGAAAUUGGAGACACCGGAAGAGUAACGCAAUUGGCUACGUUUUAUUUUUUUCUUCCUUAUGUUUUUGCUUAUGCCGAAUUCUAUGAUUGUGUGUAACUAAUUUUCUGUUGCUAGGGCAUGAUGUAGCCUUAGUUGUCUAAAAUUCACAACAAUACACAAAAGCCAACAAUCCAAAUUCAUCACCUCUAGAAGAGUCAAAACCACCUAAGCACCCAUACAAACGUAGCAAGCAAUCAAAAAACAGCCAUGGGAAAACAAAACUCAUAGCCAAACGAAUAAGCAACCUGAGGAAGAAAGGAGGUGGUGCAAGCACUUGAGCAAGAGCUCUAUACAUCUUCCCAGUGGUACUCGAAAACUCGCAUUUAAGAUUGUAUGAUGUAUCCAAAAGGUGAGAGCAGAUCAUAGAGGGAGAGAGAUUUUGUAGGGGCUACACAUAGAGAGAUAAGAUUGUGUAGAUCUCGGCUAAUGAAAAUUGAAGGAGGCAUUUAGCCUCAAAUGUGCGAAAGCAACAACCCAAACAAGUUACCAAGAAAAAAAUUGGAAAGAGAAAGGAGUGAAGGAGUGAGAAAGGAAGAGGGAAUAAGGGGGAGAGGGGAGGAGGGGCAAUGACCUCCUUCUCCCCUGCCUGAUGCAGCACUGGGAUGGUUGUAGUCGCUAUGGUGUAUCUCUUUAUGUGUCUCGUAACUUCGAAGUCUCUUUGUUAUGUUGUAAAUGGACUUUGGGUAUAUUUACUCCAUUUCAUAUAGGGUUUUGUUAUAAUUCGAGCCCCUUAUAUUAGGCCUAAUAGUGAAGCUCUCUUAAAAUUA